rfam:Medicago truncatula strain A17 unplaced genomic scaffold scaffold0092, whole genome shotgun sequence.
UGUCGAUGUUUUCCUCGGCAGUUAACUGCAGCCGGUUCUUCAAAAUUUUGACAGUUAAUUGCCGAGGGACAU